AGCGAACGCUGGCGGCAGGCUUAACACAUGCAAGUCGAGCGGGCCCUUCGGGGUCAGCGGCGGACGGGUGAGUAACGCGUGGGAACGUGCCUUCUGGUUCGGAAUAACCCUGGGAAACUAGGGCUAAUACCGGAUACGCCCUUUUGGGGAAAGGUUUACUGCCGGAAGAUCGGCCCGCGUCUGAUUAGCUAGUUGGUGGGGUAACGGCCUACCAAGGCGACGAUCAGUAGCUGGUCUGAGAGGAUGAUCAGCCACACUGGGACUGAGACACGGCCCAGACUCCUACGGGAGGCAGCAGUGGGAAUAUUGGACAAUGGGCGCAAGCCUGAUCCAGCCAUGCCGCGUGAGUGAUGAAGGCCUUAGGGUUGUAAAGCUCUUUUAUCCGGGACGAUAAUGACGGUACCGGAGGAAUAAGCCCCGGCUAACUUCGUGCCAGCCGCCGCCGUAA
rnacentral:rRNA from 1 species